rnacentral:rRNA from 1 species
AGGUCCCCCACAUUGGAACUGAGACACGGUCCAAACUCCUACGGGAGGCAGCAGUGAGGAAUAUUGGUCAAUGGGCGGGAGCCUGAACCAGCCAAGUAGCGUGAAGGAUGACGGCCCUACGGGUUGUAAACUUCUUUUAUAAGGGAAUAAAGUUCGCCACGUGUGGUGUUUUGUAUGUACCUUAUGAAUAAGCAUCGGCUAAUUCCGUGCCAGCAGCCGCGGUAAUACGGAAGAUGCGAGCGUUAUCCGGAUUUAUUGGGUUUAAAGGGAGCGUAGGCGGGCUUUUAAGUCAGCGGUCAAAUGCCACGGCUCAACCGUGGCCAGCCGUUGAAACUGCAAGCCUUGAGUCUGCACAGGGCACAUGGAAUUCGUGGUGUAGCGGUGAAAUGCUUAGAUAUCACGAAGAACUCCGAUCGCGAAGGCAUUGUGCCGGGGCAGCACUGACGCUGAGGCUCGAAAGUGCGGGUAUCAAACAGGAUUAGAUACCCUGGUAGUCCGCACGGUAAACGAUGAAUGCUCGCUAUGGGCGAUACAAUGUCCGUGGCCAAGCGAAAGCGUUAAGCAUUCCACCUGGGGAGUACGCCGGCAACGGUGAAACUCAAAGGAAUUGACGGGGGCCCGCACAAGCGGAGGAACAUGUGGUUUAAUUCGAUGAUACGCGAGGAACCUUACCCGGGCUUGAAUUGCAGGUGCAUGAGUCGGAGACGGCUCUUUCCUUCGGGACUCCUGUGAAGGUGCUGCAUGGUUGUCGUCAGCUCGUGCCGUGAGGUGUCGGCUUAAGUGCCAUAACGAGCGCAACCCUUGUUGUCAGUUACUAACAGGUUCCGCUGAGGACUCUGACAAGACUGCCAUCGUAAGAUGUGAGGAAGGUGGGGAUGACGUCAAAUCAGCACGGCCCUUACGUCCGGGGCUACACACGUGUUACAAUGGGGGGUACAGAGGGCCGCUGUCCGGUGACGGUCGGCCAAUCCCUAAAACUCCUCUCAGUUCGGACUGGAGUCUGCAACCCGACUCCACGAAGCUGGAUUCGCUAGUAAUCGCGCAUCAGCCAUGGCGCGGUGAAUACGUUCCCGGGCCUUGUACACACCGCCCGUCAAGCCAUGAAAGCCGGGGGUACCUGAAGUACGUAACCGCGAGGAGCGUCCUAGGGUAAAACUGGUGAUUGGGGCUAAGUCGUAACAAGGUAGCCGUACCGGAAGGUGCGGCUG